rnacentral:rRNA from 1 species
GACGAACGCUGGCGGCGUGCUUAACACAUGCAAGUCGAACGGAAAGGCCCUGCUUUUGUGGGGUGCUCGAGUGGCGAACGGGUGAGUAACACGUGAGUAACCUGCCCUUUACUUUGGGAUAACUUCAGGAAACUGGGGCUAAUACCGGAUAGGAGCUCCUGCUGCAUGGUGGGGGUUGGAAAGUUUCGGCGGUUGGGGAUGGACUCGCGGCUUAUCAGCUUGUUGGUGGGGUAGUGGCUUACCAAGGCUUUGACGGGUAGCCGGCCUGAGAGGGUGACCGGCCACAUUGGGACUGAGGUACGGCCCAGACUCCUACGGGAGGCAGCAGUGGGGAAUAUUGCACAAUGGGCGGAAGCCUGAUGCAGCAACGCCGCGUGCGGGAUGACGGCCUUCGGGUUGUAAACCGCUUUCGCCUGUGACGAAGCGUGAGUGACGGUAAUGGGUAAAGAAGCACCGGCUAACUACGUG